UAAAAAUUUUAGAGUUUUGAAUCUGCUCAGGACGAACGCUGGCGGCGUGCCUAAUACAUGCAAGUCGAGCGGACAGAUGGGAGCUUGCUCCCUGAUGUUAGCGGCGGACGGGUGAGUAACACGUGGGUAACCUGCCUGUAAGACUGGGAUAACUCCGGGAAACCGGGGCUAAUACCGGAUGGUUGUUUGAACCGCAUGGUUCAAACAUAAAAGGUGGCUUCGGCUACCACUUACAGAUGGACCCGCGGCGCAUUAGCUAGUUGGUGAGGUAACGGCUCACCAAGGCAACGAUGCGUAGCCGACCUGAGAGGGUGAUCGGCCACACUGGGACUGAGACACGGCCCAGACUCCUACGGGAGGCAGCAGUAGGGAAUCUUCCGCAAUGGACGAAAGUCUGACGGAGCAACGCCGCGUGAGUGAUGAAGGUUUUCGGAUCGUAAAGCUCUGUUGUUAGGGAAGAACAAGUACCGUUCGAAUAGGGCGGUACCUUGACGGUACCUAACCAGAAAGCCACGGCUAACUACGUGCCAGCAGCCGCGGUAAUACGUAGGUGGCAAGCGUUGUCCGGAAUUAUUGGGCGUAAAGGGCUCGCAGGCGGUUUCUUAAGUCUGAUGUGAAAGCCCCCGGCUCAACCGGGGAGGGUCAUUGGAAACUGGGGAACUUGAGUGCAGAAGAGGAGAGUGGAAUUCCACGUGUAGCGGUGAAAUGCGUAGAGAUGUGGAGGAACACCAGUGGCGAAGGCGACUCUCUGGUCUGUAACUGACGCUGAGGAGCGAAAGCGUGGGGAGCGAACAGGAUUAGAUACCCUGGUAGUCCACGCCGUAAACGAUGAGUGCUAAGUGUUAGGGGGUUUCCGCCCCUUAGUGCUGCAGCUAACGCAUUAAGCACUCCGCCUGGGGAGUACGGUCGCAAGACUGAAACUCAAAGGAAUUGACGGGGGCCCGCACAAGCGGUGGAGCAUGUGGUUUAAUUCGAAGCAACGCGAAGAACCUUACCAGGUCUUGACAUCCUCUGACAAUCCUAGAGAUAGGACGUCCCCUUCGGGGGCAGAGUGACAGGUGGUGCAUGGUUGUCGUCAGCUCGUGUCGUGAGAUGUUGGGUUAAGUCCCGCAACGAGCGCAACCCUUGAUCUUAGUUGCCAGCAUUCAGUUGGGCACUCUAAGGUGACUGCCGGUGACAAACCGGAGGAAGGUGGGGAUGACGUCAAAUCAUCAUGCCCCUUAUGACCUGGGCUACACACGUGCUACAAUGGACAGAACAAAGGGCAGCGAAACCGCGAGGUUAAGCCAAUCCCACAAAUCUGUUCUCAGUUCGGAUCGCAGUCUGCAACUCGACUGCGUGAAGCUGGAAUCGCUAGUAAUCGCGGAUCAGCAUGCCGCGGGUGAAUACGUUCCCGGGGCCUUGUACACACCGCCCGUCACACCACGAGAGUUUGUAACACCCGAAGUCGGUGAGGUAACCUUUUAGGAGCCAGCCGCCGAAGGUGGGACAGAUGAUUGGGGUGAGUCUAAGAGGGGACCCCGCA
rnacentral:rRNA from 1 species